GGUACUCAGGAGGCCUUUAGGCGGCCGCAGCUGCAGACUGGACAGACAGCUUUGUCCACGGCGGGCUUCUCUUCACCUGCCUCAGCUCCACAAGGGCAGACAAGCCAACUGGAUGGAGUCCCUGGGGCUGGGACCUGCAGCCCAGCUGGGAAGCAGACUUGCCAACAGCUGAUACCAGCACGCUGGGCUUGUGUGGUCUCCAGCAUGUGCAAUAACCAGGACAGAGAAAAUUCAGUUCAUACUCACGUGGGUGAGACGCAGCUCACCGCUAAGACUGAUGCCCAAGCAGACAGGCCACACAAGUUAGUUCAGCUUCAGAACUUCGACGACUGCAUCCUCUCUGCAGAAACUGUAAGCGGUUUUAAUUAUGUUUAAGGCAGAUCAAACUUAUUUCAGAAAAGUAUUAGCUCAAGACUAGGCAUAGAUUCCCUAGAGAGCUGCUGGCUUCAGCUCCUCCUUUCCAACAGAGCUGCUUUUUUAUUAUUUUUGCCAUGAUUCCUACUGUUUCUCUUUAUUAAUGCGAUACUGAACUUUCCUCCAGAAAAGCAAGAGAUCCUUAAGCCCGUUUCAACUCUAUUGUUGAUUUGUUUUUAUAAAUAUGCAGCCACCCCAGCAUGCUGGGAGAGCCUGAUGUGCUCCACGAGGAGCCCCCAAAAGCCGAGGGGAACACAGGACACUUCCCCGAAGGCACAGGGGCCUGGUCCUGCCCCUGGGCCACUCCAGGUGGGUCAGAGGGAGGAUGAGCCAGACAGGUGGCUUCUAGGGGUUCAGCCAGAGUCCGUGUGCCCAUUCCCACUGGGAACAUGUCUCCCAGGCCAAGCUGGGUGUGGAGUUGAAUUAAGUAACAGCUCAAGCAGGGGUCAGGAGACCCCCGACCAAGGUCUGCCCCAAGGCUGGAGGGGAGGCAGAAGGGGGCUCUCCUCCCAGGUCCCCAAGGGUGGGGCCAGCGGGGGUAGGGGGAGGUGGCACAGAGGAAUGGAAGAUGGCCAUGAAGCCUGCCCUGGUGUGCACGAGGGGAAUAGGGGUGAUCUCAGGACAUGAAGGUUUUCUGUGUAGCAUUUAGUGAGUUCGAGGUGUAUACCCCUGUGUAACCAACACCCCAGUCAAGGUAGAGACCUUUUCUCGAACAGGUAUUUGCACACCCAUGUUCAUAGUAGCAUCAUUCACAACAGCUAAGAGAAGGAGACAACACAAAAUGUCCUUGGAUAGAUGAAUAGAUAAACAGUGUGGCACAUCCACACAAUGGAAUAUUCACCCUUACAGAUGAAGGAAAUGCACACACAUGCUACAACACGGAUGAACCUUGAAGACGCUAGGCUCAGUGGUAUCAGCCAGACAGAAAAGAACACAGAACGUGUGGUUGUCCUUACAUUCGACACAUAGGAUUGUCAGAUUCAUGGAGACACACAGUAGAAUAGUGGUUGCCAGGGGCUGCUGGAGAAGGAAGCAGGAAGCUAGGGUAUAAUGAGGACAGCAUUUCAGAUCAGGAAGAUGAAAAAGUGCUGGAGACAGAUGGUGCCAUGUUUGAACUGCAGCUAACUGGAAUCCCACCGUAUACUGUCCUGAGUCAGGUUCCCUCGUCCAACAGAAUGCUUUGAGAUUCAGCCUUGUUGUCUGUUUCAAAAGUCCAAACAUUUUUGAUGGCUGAUUAAUAUUCCAUUUUAAGAGCAUGCCACAGUUUCUUCAUUCAUUCUUUUGUUGAUGGACGUUGAGUUGUUUCCGGCUCUUGGCUUUUAUAAAUCAAGUUGCUGUAGACAUUCUUUCUCAGGCCUCUUUGUGGACAGGCAUUUUGUCUCCCAGGUGCAUGCAUGGGAGGCGAUGGCUGGGCAGCUGUACAUCCACCUUUAGAGACACUAUCGGGUUUCCAAAGCGGCUGCACCAUUUUACACACCCACCAGCCAGGUGAACUGGACAUCUCUUCUGCUGGUUCCAUCUGGGUUCACCCAUGGGUGGGCCCCACUCUGCAAGAGGGUCCAUAGGGCUGGACCGUCCAGGUUACUGCUGGCAAUGGUCCUGCUGGUGGCUCUGUCCCUGCUUCAUUCAGGUUGCUCUUCUCCAGCCUCCCAUGGUCCCCUCCUCACGGCUCUCCCAGUGCUUCCUCAGCACCUUUCCAGCUUCCACCUGAUGCCUGCUUUGAAAACCAGGUCAAAGUUUCAGGUCUUGGAAGAAACCAUCACACCGAGGUCAUUUCUGAGCACAGCGUGGAAGCUCCUAUGUUUGCAGAUUGAUUCCUUGGAGUGGAAUUAGUAAAAAGGAUAUGAAUAUUUUUAGUCUCUUGAUAUGUUAGACUGAUUUCCAGAAGGCUUGUACCAAUUUACUCUUCUACCGACAACUGUAAGAAUACCCUUCCUCCAUCAACAGCAUUGUGUAUUAGCUUUUAAGAAAAAUCUUUUCUAAUUUAAUAGGUUAAAAAAAUUCAUCUCAUUAUUUUAAUUUGAUAUGUAUUUUUAAAUGAGGUUGAAUAUAAUUUCCCAAGCUUAUUGAUCACUUUUAUUGUUCCCUUGUGAAUGGACUGUAAAUUUGCCUCUUUUUUCUUUAGGGUGUUCAUUGAGUGUUAUUGAUUUGCAAAAGC
rnacentral:lncRNA from 1 species